rnacentral:tRNA from 1 species
CACCAUCUCCCUAAGACUC